rnacentral:tRNA from 2 species
GCGGGUGUAAUUCAGUGGUAGAAUGCAAGCUUCCCAAGCUUGACGUCGCGGGUUCAAAUCCCGUCGCCCGCU